AUUUCAGAGCUGACAAUGUUCACAAGAAAUUUCUUUUAUUUUUUGUAAGAGUGGUAUUCUGUUGAAUUCCACUAAGGUUUAAGUAUGGUGAAAAAUCCCAUAUUUCUUCCAACAUUACUAUUACUUUUCCACACGCACCGAGUGUGUGAGGUAAAGUAUUUUAUACUAUAACAGAUUUUGUACCUACUUACAUGUUGAAAAGAGCACAAAAUCGUGAUAUAAAGCAGAUCCUUAUCCUUAACAUUCGAGACUAACCAAAGUGAAUGAUACUUUGAUUCGAGUCAAAAAUGCAAUCAUAUAUUCAGAAUAUAUUAGACCAGCAUGUUUGCAAACAGAUUUACGUGACAAACCAUCACAGGUAAAUCCUACUGUUACCGACUGUGGAUCUACAUCACCUAACCGUCUCGCGUAGCUUACUCAAAAUGGAGUCGGUAUCGAUGCCAUGGAAUGUAAAUCUACGCUCAUAGAUUUGUUCCGUCCAUCGAAUGAUUUGACUCAUAGAAAUGGUAUAAAUGGAGGGCAGUAUUGUGCAUAUGAUCCACAAGGAAGAAACGAUUAGAUAGUUGCCAAGGAGACAGCGAAGGACCCCUACAAUAUUUCCACCCGAUUUAAACAGACACUAAAACAAUUAUUGGAAUUGUCUUGUAGUGUCUAUACAUCAAAUCUGCCAUCCAUUUAUACCAGAGUUGCUUAUUAUUUAGAUUCAAUCGUACAACUUUUUUUGGCCAACGAAUAUUGCAUACAUCACUUUCGUUUUUAUGUCUAAAUCAAUUAAUAUAAAUAUAUAAGUCAUUUUAAGAAAAUUAAAUCUACAUAGCAAAAUUUUUAAC